GCGAACGUAGUUCAGUGGUAGAACACCACCUUGCCAAGGUGGGGGUCGCGGGUUCGAAUCCCGUCGUUCGCUUAG
rnacentral:tRNA from 12 species